CAACAUUCUUGUGGGUUAUUAGACCUGGCUCAGUCCAUGACUCAUAAGGGUUUUUUUAGAAACAAUUGGAGAUUAUAAAAUGGGCAUGCACGUUUUGGAACAUGUUGCUAUGGAGGGAUUUUGUAGCCAUUGCGGUUAGAAUUCAAGUUUGGAAAGGUAUUAGUGGAGGGGUUCCAAUUAUAUGCUAGCCUUGUUUUGCUGAUCAAAAGGUAUUUGAGGCAGGCUGAAACUCCCUGCUGCAUUUGAUUUCAUUGAUGAAACUUCUUUUCUUUCUUGCUCAACUGUUGAUGACAACAAUUGGUUGUAUCAUAUUCUUUCUAGCAGCCCAGGUCCUCCCAGUUGGUGAUAUUACGAUUGAUACCAUCUAGACCUCUACAGCCGUAUCCAAUAUUGUAUUCUUCUCAAUAAGAUCACAACGAUAGCUUCCCUUUUCAAUAAGCACAAAUUUUAAAGCAAAUAUUUUUAUGAAAAACUCUAUUUAUCCCGCAGUAAUUAAGGUUGGGCAUGCUUUUCAACUUUAUUUCAUGGGGUAAUUGUUUUUUCAGUCGUCUCAUAAAUUUUGUCACGUCAUUUUGUUUGUUAUUUUUAUUAAAUUAUUUUGUCACCGUAGCAAUACUAUUUUUAAUUUAUUUCAGGAAGUAAUUGUUUUUUUAUAUUUUAAGCAAUACUGUUUUUAAUUUAUUGUUUCAGGAAGCAAUACUGUUUUUGGUUGUUGUUUGAUUAGUAAUCGCAUUUUAUUUUAAACUAAUUUUUUCUUUAAAAAAAAACAAAAUAUAACGGUUAAUAUUGAUGUUUAAAUUAUAUCAAUUACGAAGUUAAAUUAAAAAUAUAACAUUUUUUAAAAUUAAUUUUAAAGUGAACGUAUACUUUGGAAUGGGUGCAGGGCAUUUUAGUUGAUUUUAAGUGCAUUUGUUUUUCUAAUAGAUGAAUGUACUUAUUUUUAAUUAUUAUUUUUGUAAAAUAAUAAUCACACGUUAAAGUUGAAAAAUAAUAGUAAUUAAAAAAGUUAUUUUUACAUGAAACUUCAACUAGAAGUCUAUGCUCAAGAAUCUUAUAGGUAAUACGCUCGGUUUAAAAUAUAAGAGCAAAAUACAAAGCCAAAUGCUCUUAUAUUUUUGUGCGGAAGUGCUAAUAAUUGUUUCAUACACUAGAAUUUUGAGUGACAACAGUUGUUACCCUUGCUUCUUGCUAGAUAUACAAACAAUGUGAUUCCGCAUCCUGAUUUGAGACGGUUCAAAAUUAUGUCCGAUUCAAAAAUGGUUCAAAAUGAACAGUCCAUUAAACUAAUUUAUAGAAAAAAAAUAGCAUUUUAUAUAGAAGAGAGUUUCAUUAUAUAAUAUUUGCAUAAAGACAUAAUCUAAAAUACAACGCUCUCUAAUAUAAAAUGCAACUUUUUUCAUAAACUGCCCAUGGCCUAAAAUCAAGAUCCAUGAAAUUCCUCAUGCUACACGAAUACAAAAUUUAACACAAAGGGGGAGGGCCUCUCUUUAAAUAAAAGGAAUGUUUUACUAUACAUGUUCGGUUAAAGUUUUGGACAAAAAUGAUUUAUUCCCUAUCCCCUAAGUUGACAGACUUGCUUAUAGGAAGGUUAAGCCGAAUCACAUAUAUGAAUCAAUAUAUUUAUAUGUAUGCUUCCUAUUAUACUGUAGCAAGCUUGCAUAAGUUCGGUCCCACACGCCGAUGAAAAGAGACUCGUCAUCCGGGCCGAGCGAGAUGCCAGAAAUCUCCCCAAAGAAAUCAAUCUCUUGCCGUUUCUUAUAGUCUACGUUGGCACUAUACACAUGGACAAAAUCUGCAGGUUCAGCUACUACUAAGAACUGCCCAUCAAACGAGAAGCGGACUGAUCGCACCACACCCAUGUUUCCCUUUAGAACUGCUACUGGCAAUGAAAGCUUCCUUAAAUCCCAUACUCGGCAGGUCUUGUCUUGAUUCCAUGUGGCAAAGGUACGUCCGCCUGGGUGCCAUGCAGAAGCGAACGAGUAGUCUAGAUGACAUACGACCCAGGCGAUCGUCUAAAAACAUAAAAAAUGUUACCACUUUAGAAUUCUCAUAAAAGCAUAUAGUAGUCAAAAAGGCGAAGUGUGUCGAUGAAAACUUCUUCCAUAACGCUAGUCGUACUUGUUACUAUCCAGAGAAACAAGAGAGAAAUUAAAAGAUUGUUUAAUAAAACUGAAAGAAACAGUUUUAAAUGCAAUUUGAAUGAAAUAAAAU
rnacentral:lncRNA from 1 species